rnacentral:tRNA from 1 species
GUGACUGUAGCUCAAUUUGGAUAGAGCGUUGGUUUGUGGAACCAAUGGUUGCGGGUUCAAAUCCCGUCAGUCACC